UACGGAGGAUGCGAGAGUUAUCCGGAUUUAUUGGGUUUAAAGGGUGCGUAGGCGGGCUUUUAAGUCAGCGGUAAAAAUUCGGGGCUCAACCCCGUCCGGCCGUUGAAACUGGGGGCCUUGAGUGGGCGAGAAGAAGGCGGAAUGCGUGGUGUAGCGGUGAAAUGCAUAGAUAUCACGCAGAACCCCGAUUGCGAAGGCAGCCUUCCGGCGCCCUACUGACGCUGAGGCACGAAAGUGCGGGGAUCGAACAGG
rnacentral:rRNA from 1 species